GACGAACGCUGGCGGCGCGCUUAACACAUGCAAGUCGAACGGAAAGGCCUGCUUUCCCUUGUGGAUUGCGGGUACUCGAGUGGCGAACGGGUGAGUAACACGUGAGUGAUCUGCCCCCAACUUGGGUAUAAGCCUGGGAAACUGGGUCUAAUUCCCGUUAGGACUGCAAGGUGGUGCCUGUGUUGGAAAACGAUUUUUUAGUGGUUGGGGAUAAGCUCGCGGCCUAUCUGCUUUUUGGUGGGGGAAUGGCCUACCAAGGCGGCGACGGGUAGCCGGCGUGAGAGGGUGGACGGCGACAUUGGGACUGAGCUACGGCCCCGACUCCUGCGGGAGGCAGCGGUGGGGAGUAUUAGACAGUGAGCGGAAGCCUGAUGCAGCGACGCCGCGUGGGGGAUGACGGCCUUCGGGUUGUAAACUCCUUUCGAACGCGAGGAAGCCACCUGGUUGGAAGGGUGGUGACGGUAGUGGUAGAAGAAGCACCGGCUAACUACGUG
rnacentral:rRNA from 1 species